rnacentral:rRNA from 1 species
GAUUAAGUUAUUAAGGGCGCACGGUGGAUGCCUUGGCACUAGAAGCCGAUGAAGGACGUUACUAACGACGAUAUGCUUUGGGGAGCUGUAAGUAAGCUUUGAUCCAGAGAUUUCCGAAUGGGGAAACCCAGCAUGAGUUAUGUCAUGUUAUCGAUAUGUGAAUACAUAGCAUAUCAGAAGGCACACCCGGAGAACUGAAACAUCUUAGUACCCGGAGGAAGAGAAAGAAAAUUCGAUUCCCUUAGUAGCGGCGAGCGAAACGGGAAGAGCCCAAACCAACAAGCUUGCUUGUUGGGGUUGUAGGACACUCUAUACGGAGUUACAAAGGACGACAUUAGACGAAUCAUCUGGAAAGAUGAAUCAAAGAAGGUAAUAAUCCUGUAGUCGAAAAUGUUGUCUCUCUUGAGUGGAUCCUGAGUACGACGGAGCACGUGAAAUUCCGUCGGAAUCUGGGAGGACCAUCUCCUAAGGCUAAAUACUCUCUAGUGACCGAUAGUGAACCAGUACCGUGAGGGAAAGGUGAAAAGCACCCCGGAAGGGGAGUGAAAUAGAACCUGAAACCGUGUGCUUACAAGUAGUCAGAGCCCGUUAAUGGGUGAUGGCGUGCCUUUUGUAGAAUGAACCGGCGAGUUACGAUUUGAUGCAAGGUUAAGCAGUAAAUGUGGAGCCGUAGCGAAAGCGAGUCUGAAUAGGGCGUUUAGUAUUUGGUCGUAGACCCGAAACCAGGUGAUCUACCCUUGGUCAGGUUGAAGUUCAGGUAACACUGAAUGGAGGACCGAACCGACUUACGUUGAAAAGUGAGCGGAUGAACUGAGGGUAGCGGAGAAAUUCCAAUCGAACCUGGAGAUAGCUGGUUCUCUCCGAAAUAGCUUUAGGGCUAGCCUCAAGUGAUGAUUAUUGGAGGUAGAGCACUGUUUGGACGAGGGGCCCCUCUCGGGUUACCGAAUUCAGACAAACUCCGAAUGCCAAUUAAUUUAACUUGGGAGUCAGAACAUGGGUGAUAAGGUCCGUGUUCGAAAGGGAAACAGCCCAGACCACCAGCUAAGGUCCCAAAAUAUAUGUUAAGUGGAAAAGGAUGUGGCGUUGCCCAGACAACUAGGAUGUUGGCUUAGAAGCAGCCAUCAUUUAAAGAGUGCGUAAUAGCUCACUAGUCGAGUGACACUGCGCCGAAAAUGUACCGGGGCUAAACAUAUUACCGAAGCUGUGGAUUGUCCUUUGGACAAUGGUAGGAGAGCGUUCUAAGGGCGUUGAAGCAUGAUCGUAAGGACAUGUGGAGCGCUUAGAAGUGAGAAUGCCGGUGUGAGUAGCGAAAGACGGGUGAGAAUCCCGUCCACCGAUUGACUAAGGUUUCCAGAGGAAGGCUCGUCCGCUCUGGGUUAGUCGGGUCCUAAGCUGAGGCCGACAGGCGUAGGCGAUGGAUAACAGGUUGAUAUUCCUGUACCACCUAUAAUCGUUUUAAUCGAUGGGGGGACGCAGUAGGAUAGGCGAAGCGUGCGAUUGGAUUGCACGUCUAAGCAGUAAGGCUGAGUAUUAGGCAAAUCCGGUACUCGUUAAGGCUGAGCUGUGAUGGGGAGAAGACAUUGUGUCUUCGAGUCGUUGAUUUCACACUGCCGAGAAAAGCCUCUAGAUAGAAAAUAGGUGCCCGUACCGCAAACCGACACAGGUAGUCAAGAUGAGAAUUCUAAGGUGAGCGAGCGAACUCUCGUUAAGGAACUCGGCAAAAUGACCCCGUAACUUCGGGAGAAGGGGUGCUCUUUAGGGUUAACGCCCAGAAGAGCCGCAGUGAAUAGGCCCAAGCGACUGUUUAUCAAAAACACAGGUCUCUGCUAAACCGUAAGGUGAUGUAUAGGGGCUGACGCCUGCCCGGUGCUGGAAGGUUAAGAGGAGUGGUUAGCUUCUGCGAAGCUACGAAUCGAAGCCCCAGUAAACGGCGGCCGUAACUAUAACGGUCCUAAGGUAGCGAAAUUCCUUGUCGGGUAAGUUCCGACCCGCACGAAAGGCGUAACGAUUUGGGCACUGUCUCAACGAGAGACUCGGUGAAAUCAUAGUACCUGUGAAGAUGCAGGUUACCCGCGACAGGACGGAAAGACCCCGUGGAGCUUUACUGUAGCCUGAUAUUGAAAUUCGGCACAGCUUGUACAGGAUAGGUAGGAGCCUUUGAAACGUGAGCGCUAGCUUACGUGGAGGCGCUGGUGGGAUACUACCCUAGCUGUGUUGGCUUUCUAACCCGCACCACUUAUCGUGGUGGGAGACAGUGUCAGGCGGGCAGUUUGACUGGGGCGGUCGCCUCCUAAAAGGUAACGGAGGCGCUCAAAGGUUCCCUCAGAAUGGUUGGAAAUCAUUCAUAGAGUGUAAAGGCAUAAGGGAGCUUGACUGCGAGACCUACAAGUCGAGCAGGGUCGAAAGACGGACUUAGUGAUCCGGUGGUUCCGCAUGGAAGGGCCAUCGCUCAACGGAUAAAAGCUACCCCGGGGAUAACAGGCUUAUCUCCCCCAAGAGUUCACAUCGACGGGGAGGUUUGGCACCUCGAUGUCGGCUCAUCGCAUCCUGGGGCUGUAGUCGGUCCCAAGGGUUGGGCUGUUCGCCCAUUAAAGCGGUACGCGAGCUGGGUUCAGAACGUCGUGAGACAGUUCGGUCCCUAUCCGUCGUGGGCGUAGGAAAUUUGAGAGGAGCUGUCCUUAGUACGAGAGGACCGGGAUGGACAUACCUCUGGUGUACCAGUUGUCGUGCCAACGGCAUAGCUGGGUAGCUAUGUGUGGACGGGAUAAGUGCUGAAAGCAUCUAAGCAUGAAGCCCCCCUCAAGAUGAGAUUUCCCAACUUCGGUUAUAAGAUCCCUCAAAGAUGAUGAGAUUAAUAGGUUCGAGGUGGAAGCAUGGUGACAUGUGGAGCUGACGAAUACUAAUCGAUCGAAGACUUAAUCAA